rnacentral:lncRNA from 1 species
CUUUUUUUUUUUUUUUUUGCCUUAUUAUUGUAUGUAUUGGUAAUUGGUUUACUAGUUAUGUAUUUGGUGAGGGACAAUCAUGUUGGAGUUUUCCAAAAACUUCAUUUAUUUCUUAAAGAUCCAUCUCAAAAUCUUCAUUGAUUUCAAAGAAAAACAGCACAAAUCUAGUUCCCUCGCACUUUUAUUUACAUGCAUUUUAUGUUUUCGAGUGAAAAAUGUUUCUUUAUUUUUAGUCAAGUUGGUUUACAUAUACUAUAUAUAAUCAAACUCCAUUAAGAAGCAAUUUAACAGCACAUGAUGGGAAAGAUGAGUUCAUCUAGCAUGCGUCGUCCUCAUUGAAUUUUGAACCUUCUUGUGAUAGAAUCUCAGUUCUUUUCUCAUUUAUGGACUAGCACAAACAGGAAAAAAAAAAAAAAAAAAAAAAACUAGUCUGCAUCCCAUAUAUAGUUUUGCAUCUCUACAUAUUGAUAUCAUGACUUAAGUUGGCUUUAAAGAAAUUAAAAUCUAAAAUGACAAAGAUAAAGUAAAUAAAUGGUUAAGGAUCAAAAUACACUUUUUAGUGGUUAAGAUUUCAGAACAUACUUAUCUGCUUAAUUGGACACAUAAUACACAAUGCUAGCACACACACAUAUGCAUCAAAACCUUGAAGCAUGGAUGUGACAUAGCGGAAAUUUUUUUUUUUUUGGGUCUAGAUUAAGAAGGACCUGUCGACCCCAUUGCUUACCUUUUAAUUUUGGCUUUUAUUUGUCUCAAUUUGUUGGAUUAAUGGGUCUUAAUUAAAAGUGGUCACAGGCUGAAAAUGAACCUCCAUUUGUCCCACUUUGUCCAAUUCAUUUCCCAUGGCCACACGAGCACAUGCAAAUCUUUGUAUGUAGAGCAUACAGGAAUAAAAUGGUACUCUUUCCAAGAGCAAUGCCAUUUCUUUCUUUAUCCAAGAUUAGGACCUUAACCGUCUCUUCCAAGAGGAGCACAAUACCUUAAACCGCCUGUCACCUACCUGUCAUUUGCAAAUUAAUGGACCUUUUGUUGUUUCUCUAUUGUUUAAAAUCCCUUUUUUUUUUGGACAAAUAUUGUUUAAAAUCCUACCAUUCGAUUCCACUACUUAGUAUAUAUAGGAUAUGAGAUUUAAAACCUCUAGAACAAUGCACAUCACCAUAUGACCAAAGAAAAUAUACAUGCAUAAGCUAUAGAUAAGAUGUUCAUUAUCUAUAAAGAGUUGAUGUUAUUUGAAAGCUUGAAUACCAGUCAAAUUCAUGGCUAAGAUUUUCCUUAUCAAGAUAAGACUCACCGAAUCGACCUGCGGAUUAAUCAAUACAUAUGUACUUAUACACUUAAUUUGAAAGCUUUUUGCCAUCAUAAUUUGAUACUUCAAAGAAACUACAACUUCCUUAUUCCCUACGGCAUGGUGAGAUUUAAUACACACAGCCUCUACACCUCCAAACCCCCUCCCUCCAUCCUCUCAACAUCCAAUCAAAUACUGAAAAUGACAAAUAUCUACUAGAAUUUUUUUUUUAUUAUUUCACAAAUCAAGUUUUGGCUUUUCCUUCUCCUAUUUCUUCCACCUUCUUUCUUCAAUGUCUUCCAGCAAGACCAAACAAAUGUUUAAGGUCAUAUUUACAGCUAAUGGAGGAUGUGGAUGUGGGAAGCCAAAGCCUAAUGAAGUAAUUGAGCCAAAACCAAAGGGUAAAGCCUCAAGCAAUACACCUAUUUAUCACUCUUCUUCAAGCUCCUGGGAUAGAGGAGGUGGUGGAAACUCCAUCGAUGAUACUUCCACAACGUUAACACAUUGUUCUGAGCAGGAUCAAUUCAAUGUUCCAAGCAGCUCUAAAAUGGUAAGUCCACUGCCCAAAUUUGGUGAUAGUGUUGCAGUUGUCAAGGAGUCUGACGACCCUUAUCAAGAUUUUCGCCAAUCAAUGCUACAAAUGAUUCUUGAGAAAGAAAUCUACUCAAAAGAUGAUCUACAAGAGCUUCUCAGCUGCUUUCUUCGUCUUAAUUCUCCUUCUCAUCAUGAAAUCAUUGUCAAUGCCUUCAUGGACAUCUGGAAUGGGGUUGUCUCCGAGAAAUCUGAUCCCGCAAACAAGCAGAAAAAUCAGCAACAAGAAAUUCAAUGUCAUGGUGGAAUAAACAAAUUAGUAUGAUAUGAAGACCUUUAUGGAUAGAUAAAGGUUGAAUGGUAUUUUCCCUUUUUUCUUCUGGUACUACUAAUAUGGUGUUGGUUAUUAGUAUAGCAGAAUCUGAACUGUUAGUACCAGCUAUGAUGAUGGUGGGAAGAAGUUAGAUGAACUGAUGAAAAGAGUUAAAUGCAAAGUAGUAGUGAAACAAGACAUGGAAGUAAGGAGGAGGCAAGAGCUUUAAUGCUCUGAUCAGAUGAUGAAAAGAAGUUUAAGACAGAAAUCUUUACUGUAUUCUCCUUCUGGAAAUUUUCUGACUAUCCAAAAGUUUCCAGUUUGAUGACAUUUAGUGCAAGCUAUGUAUUAUUAUUGGUGCCAAGUAGUUGGCUAUGAAUGGUCUUCAUUUAUGUUCAUCCUAUUCUUCUUGCGGGUUGUGCAUCUUAAGUUUUGAUUUUAUGAUGGUAUCCCUAUUGGAAUUUAUGAUCCUGAUUCUAGUAUUAGAGUUGAAAAUCCUGAUUCAUCUUUAGUUCUUCUAUAAUUUGGGUGUAGAAAGAGGGGAAAGAGGCAUAUUCUUGGAAGUUGGAAUGUCAAACUGAGUUCUUGCUAAUAUAUAUGAUCACUUAAGGUGUAAUGCAAUAGAAUAAUUUUGAUAGUGGGGUAGAUUUUUUUGGUACAUUUAGGCAAGGGUCGGUAUUCCUCAGAGCAGAAUAUUUAACUAUUUGUACCUAAUAAAACACCAAACGGGGGGAAAGUUAAAAGCCAGAAGUUGCACAUGCAACAUUAAGUAUUCACUGGGAGUACUCCUCUCCAUCAGAUUUAGAACAGAAAAGUCUCUCUGCUUGGAGAAAUUGUUGUGCAACUUUGCACCUUAAAUUGGACUUUGCAUCUAUGGUCUCUACGUUGUUGCAAUUGGAGACAAAUGAAAAAUUCCAUUUUUUGCCAUACACAUCCAAAUAAGUAGAGAUUAACAUGGAGUUCAAGGGAUAGGAAGUUAACCAGGAUUCAAACUUUUUUUUUUAUUACCAACAAAAUUUGGAAGGAGAAAAAUUGACAUUAAACAGGAAAGAUUAAUUAGUCUAGCUGUUUGUGAGCAGAUUAUGUUCAAUUAUUUCUCCAAUUACCUAACUUUUCCAAAUCGUGGGCUUUUGGCUUUUCACGGGGUACUACUUUGGCUUUUAAUGUUAGCGGGCAAGAAAUACUUUUGUACAGAAUGAAACAAACAAACAUUUAAAGGAUUAUAAUUGGACCUCGCUUUACUCUCUUAACGUUUGGUGCCACUAUCAAUUUCCCCCUUAACGUUAUCUUUUAGUCACUUUACCCCCAAGACUAACAGUCAAACUUAACGGAAUUUAUUAAUUAAAGUGAAAAGACAUGUUUAACCCUUAAAACUAUUAUCACUUUACCUCCAUAAAUUAUAGUCUCAUUAUCAAUUUACCCCCUAGAGUUAUUUUUUAGGCAAUUUAUCCUACCAUUAAACCAACUUAGCAAGUUAAAAAACUUUAGAAGAAAAUACCCUCCUCUUUGCAUAAUAAAAAUAAUAAAAAAUUUAGAGUUGCUCUUCUUCUUUUUAGUAUCAAGAAAAAAAGUCAAAGUAUUAGUUUCUUUCUUCUUGACAAUCUUAUUAAUAUCAAAAAAGAAUAGAAAGAUGGAGAGGGAGAGAGCUCAAUUCUUUUUUUUAAAAAUUACAAAUAAGAAAGAAUUAAAUACUUUUAUUAUUUUAAAAUUAUUUCACUUUUCUGUUUACUACCAAAUUUCAAUCCUAAUCCCAACAACCUUAAUGUAAUACGAUAAUGUUAGACUUUUCUUUAUUUUUUUUCUUUGCAAAAUCUAAUUUUCUUUCUUCUUCUUUUGUAUUUUUUUCUUUUCCUAGUAUUAAUAAGUGUGAAAAAAAGAAAUUUGAGAAAACCCUUUUAUUUUUAUGUUUUUCGAUCUCUUAAAGUGAAAAAAAAAGGAAGAAUAGCCAUUCCAAUUUUUUUAUUUUAAUUAUAUAUAAAAAAGGGUAAAUAUAUUUAAAAUUUUUUGACCAUACUAGUUAGAUUAACGAUGAAAUAAAAUACCUAAAAAAUAAUGUUAGGAACUAAAAUGAUUGUAUCACUAUAAUUUAAACGUAAAAAGUGAUAAUAACAAUGUAGUAAUGCUAUAAAAUAAAAUGGUAGUUUUGUCCAAAAUUUCUUAACAUGUUGGGUUGAAUUACUUAUGGGGGUAAAGUGAUUAAAAGAUAACGUUAGGAGGUAAACUGAUAGUAGUGAUAUAUUUUAAGGGGGUAAAGUGAUAAUAACCAUAAAAUCACUUUAAAGAAGUUCACACCAGUCAUUCAUGCAUUCUGCCGUAUAUUUACAUUUAUUUGCAUUUUUUAUUCUUAGGUGACGUUUGGUAAGAGGGUUUCGGAAUGGAGAAUUGGAAUAAAUUCCAUAAUUAUUGUUUGGAUUACUAGUAUUGGAAUUGAGAUUUUGAAAUCAUAUCUAAAAAUUUGAAAUUCCACAAUUCUCUAGUAACUUGGAAAGUUUUGAACAAAAAUCAAAUCUGAUUCCUAUCUAAUUUAUCGAAAAUUAGGGAUGGCAAUUGGGGCACCCGUCCCACAGGAGGCUAAUGGGGUGGGGGGAAUUUUUUCUCCCUGUUUAGAAAUGGGGCCCGCCAUACCACCUGUUAAAAAAAUUAAUAUUUAAUUAUAUAAUUAUAUAUAUUAUAAUUAUAAUUAUAUAUUUUAUUAUAAUAUUAGUAUAAUUAUAUAAUAUAUUUAUAAUAAUACAUAUAUUAUAUUUAUAUUUAUUGUAUACACAUAUAUAUUUAUAAAUAUAUAUUAUAUGUUUAUAUUAUAUAUAUGUGUGUGUGUAUAAUUAGUAUAUAAUAAUAAUAUAUGUGCAUAUAAUAGUAAUAAUAUAUUAUAUAACUAUAUAUAUUAAAUAUUUAUAUUUAUAUUUAUUAGUAUAAAUAUAAAAAUAUAAAAGAGGAAAUCCUUGCCUUCUGGAUUUGACUAUAUAGAAGAGGAAACAAUCAUGGAUUUGUGUUCUUGAAACUGGUACCAGUGGAUGCGGGAUCGGUGCACUUGUAACUGCAACUAUACCAUGCCAUUCAAUUGUUGUCAAAAUGAACAUUCACUUAACAGAAUAAGUUACUUCAUAUGGAAAUGGGAAGAGCACUAACAUUUGGGAAGAUGCUUGGCUAUUGGAAGGGAAGCAAGGCAAGGUAGAAUCCCCAAAACCACUGGGAUGCACCAUCACAAAAGUUAGCGAGCUGAUCUCCAGUUUCAGAUGGAAAUCACCACUCAUCUUCCGAACUUUCAGUCCACAUGAAGCUAGGAAUAUACACAAAAUGCCUAUCAGUGUGACAAAGAGACCUGAUUGCUACUACUGGAGGCACGGCACCACUGGAAAAUACACUGUCAGAUCUGCUUAUGAAGCCUUCACAGCGGAGGAUAGGAUGCCUAAAGCACCUACGAGCAGUCUGGGAGAAACAAGCUGGAUUGGGGGCUGCAACAAAAUCUGGAAACAGCUAUGGAAAUUGAGAAUAAGACGCAGUUUACACCAGGUGUUACCCGUAAGAGAAGCUAUAUUUAGGAGAACGGGUAAGGGAGAGCUAAUCUGUAAGCAGUGUGGAGAAACAAAUGAGACAGUUGAGCACAUUUUCUUCCAAUGUAGCAAAGCAAAGCUGAUAUGGAAGAUGGCUCCGUUACAGUGGGACGGGCUUCAUGAGGACACAACUGAUUUCAGGAAAUGAUGGAGCAUGCUAAUGGGAGUAAAGGAACGAAAGGAUGGAAUGCAACACAUUUGUCUAACUGUGGAUAUCCUUUGGCACAUUUGGAAAUCCAGGAAUGAAGUAGAAUUUGAAGGCAAACAUAGGCAUCCAAUGGAGGUAGUCAGAAAGGCAGCGAAUGACUUUGAGGAGUACCAUAACUGCCAACAGGUACAACAAUGUAUGAGCAUUUCCGAAACAGAAAUAGCAAAUGAACAAGAGCAAACGAGGGAACCAGAGCAAGACAUCCUGAGCAUUCAUAUACAUGUGGGGCAACACACUGAAGAACUUAAUAUGGGAAUUGGCAUCACAGUAACAAAUGCAAUGAACCAGCUUGGUGCAGGGUGGAUGCUCAGAGAAAGAAGUACUGGAUCGCCUGUCCUGGACAAAUUGGUGGCGAUACAGCUGGCUCUUUGUAAGCUAAAGAAACGGGACUUGCAAAACAUACAGGUUCAUAUUUCAUGUAACCAGAUUUUAAAGAUGAUACGCUGCCAAGGCCCAAGCAACAUCCUUAUAGCAGGCCAUCUCGAAUGUAUCAAUGAUCUCAGCUUAAUGUUUAGGACAUGCUCAUUUGUUUGCCAGCCUAGUAAUGUUAGUACUAAUACACUCAGUUAUCAACCGAGUAAGCAAGCAAUGCACAUCUAUUUUAAUGAGGAGUUCGUUGAUUCUCGGUGUCUUAGUACACCUUUGUAAACCAAAACUUGAGCCCUUGCUCAUAAAUUGUAAUUUCUCUAUUAGUAGAAAUAUAUUAAUCUAUCGUUUCUGAAAAAAAAAAAAAUAAGUUACUUCAUAUACCGGUUCCCUUGAGCCUAGCCUUCUGUGCUAAUUAAUUGAACGUGACAGCCAAAAGAUACCGGCUAUUACACAAAAUACGAUCCAUGGAUGUGCAUUUAUAGUUCACUAAUUGGACACAAUUAACUAAGCAACCAAAGAGACUUUGUCAUUACUAAUGAUCAAUACAAACUAACACUACUGUUUUAAAAUCACUUAUUGCCAUUGUUGGAAAGGGGAAAAGAAAGGUGUAAACCUUUGUUUUGUCAACUCAACUAGAAAAGUCAACACAAUUUUCAUCACACCAUCAGAAAAAUUUCCUAAGGUUUCAAGUUCUACAACAUCUACCGAAACUAAAACUAAGGAUUUGUUUGGCACUCCUUUUUUUUUUGCGUGUUUUUAAUAGAAAAAGUUUUAUUAUAAUUAAGGACAGUCAUGCACGAUUCAGUUUGAAUUGGGAUCAAACUAAAAUCGGACCGAUCGAAUUUAGAAUUGGAUUUUACAAACCAAAAGUGGGACCAUAACCAUGAUUAAAGGUUCAAACUCAAGUUCACUAAAAUUUUGUAACAGAAUUGAAAUUGGCAGUUUAGAAUCAAUUCAAACCAUCUCAAAAACAACCCCAUCUAUACCUAUUUGACCAGUUUAUAGUUCAAUAUCAAUAAUCAGCACCUAACACUAACAACUCCAAUUCUAACCCAACAACUCAUUGUUCCAUCUAAUUAGUAAGACUGAACCUCACGACUAAUAUAUAUCCAAAACCAAUCUAAUCUAAUCAAUAUUGAGAUUUUUUUUUCAUAAAAUUAGAUCGGUUUUUCUUUUGUCUUGUGCAUGGUAAUACAAUAAAGUUUUUUUCUAUAUUCAUUAUCAUAUUUUCUUAGAAUCAAUUUUAUAACAACAAGUAUUUAAACAUAAUUAAAAGAAUCGAAACUGUAUUCGGAAGCAACCGGAGCUGUAAUCAAAAUAAAAUCGAAACCGAAAUCAGAUCAAAAUCGAAGGUUCAAGAACCGUAACCGCAACCAUCCUUAUAAGAGCUAAUUUAGGCUCUACUUUUCAAAAGUUUUUAAACUUGAUUCUAAGGUUUUAAACAGAAACUAACGAUUCUGGAAAUCAGGAAAUGUUGCCUUGUCUAAUUUCAAAUUUAGCUAUAAUAACUUACUAACACAUCUCAAAUUUUAUGAAAAAAAAUACCAUAAAAUAUCAAAAACAUACCCAAAAUACCAAAAACACACUUUCCUUUCCCUCUUCCAUAACUACCCUCCCUCACUAUAAACAUACCCAACAUACCAAACACGCACUUUCCUUUCCCUAUUCCACCACGAUCCUCCCUCACCAUAUCACCUCCCCAUCUCCACCGCCACCUCUCCCCCUCACUUUUGCUGCCAUCGCGCCACCCUUUCAUCCACUCCGCCACCUUUCCUCGAAGUUCUACAACUAUCCUACAAAUAAACAAAAAGAUUUUCUAAAAAUUCUAUAAUAAACUACAAUAAAAUAUUUCAGACAAACAUCCAAAAAAAAAAAACAUACUAGCCAACUGAAUGCUAAAAGUUUACUUGACACUUUCAGAGUUAAGAUGCUAAUUUGAGUAGAUUUAAAAUUCCCGUACCUUGAAAACAAAUAAUUAAGCAAAGAAUAUUGUUUGAACCGUUAUAUUUCUAAAAAGAAUCCACUAAAUAAUUGUCAUUAAAAUAAUGAUCAGCAAAACUAAUUAACACAUCCAUGUUUAAUACACCUCUAAUCCAUACAAGACACCGGCAUAUUUUUCCGGCCCUCCAUCCUUUACAAAAUAUACAUCUCUAAUUUUUUGAAAAGCAUGCCAAGUCAGCAAGCUAUCGGACCCUGCUUGAUGGCACCUUCCAACCGCCCGGUUCACUUCUAAAGUUUUAGCUACCCGGUCCAACCCACCGUACAAACUAGCACAAAACCGCAUCAAAUGCUUCACAUCAUACACCUUAUUUCCAAAAAAGACCCUCAUGUAUUCCAAAAACUCAUCCAAGUCCUCCGGCAACGCGCAGCGCGUGAUGACCUUCACCAAGUACGCGAAGUCGUAAGCACUGUGAAACGUCACCCAACUCACCGAGUCAUUGCACACCAAGCCCGAGCCCAUCAUCAACUCGGCGAACCGGGCCGAGUCAAUCCCAAAAUCCCGGUUUUUCUCGAAGUCAAUGCCGUGGCGCGUGAGCAGGUCUAUGGAGUCCGGGGCGUGAGCGUCACGCUCGUAGUCAAAAUCGGAAAAGUUGAACUGCCAGAUGAACUGACAAUUCUCGUCGCAGCCCAGAUCCGGCAAGUUGCCGUUCUCGUCAGAGAGAGUAAGACCCAACUGAAUAAGCUCCAAAACGUCGACGUUCCUCUUCAAGAACUUGUAGUGAUCGGAAGGCAGAAGCUUUUUCCGGUAACCAAAAGAAGCCUUUUCCGGCUUGAAGAUCACGCCUGGAAAUUCAGUAUCCAUUGAGAUAAAUGGGUAUUUAUCCACAACCCCACGGAUUAAUUCGAAUUCGGACUCAAGGUUAUCCGCCCAAACUUCUCUGAUUUUUAUCGGCUUAUCAGGCUGGGUUAAGCCCACGUCAUCGUUUUCCUGGAUCAGCAGCAUAUUUCUGAUAACAAGAAUUAGUAAUUUGAAUUUUGAAGAGGAGAGAGACAGAGAGAGAGAGAGAAGAGAACUUCAAGAGAGAGAACUUGAUGAAUUUUUGGUGUGAUUGAAGAUAAAUGCCAUGGGUUUUUAUAAAGGGGUUGUGGGAUAAAAAGAUGUUGCGUCGAAGGAGAGCAAUGAAUAUGAAGGGAAAGUAGAUAAAUAACAAGGCAAGUUGGAGGUGCACGGUAUCAGAGUUGUCCUCCAAAUUCAACACGGGUUUAGGACUUGAGGAAGUCGACUGGGAGGGAUGUUUCCAAAUCCUACAGUUUUGACUCGCGUUUUCCUUCUGGGAAAUACCGGCAGCUUGUACGUGGGUUGUAUUAUUAUCACAAGCAGACCCCUUUGAUUUGAAGAAAUUUUUUGAUUACCCCUCGAAUUAGGAGGGGUGUAAAUCAAAUUGAGCAUUCCAAUUCGGUUCAUUUGUGAGGUUGAAGAUUGUGUUCAAACUUGAUUAGAUUGUUGUAUGAGUUGUAUUAUGAUGAGUUUUUGUAAUGUCAAAAAUCGAGUCAAAGCCAAAUUAUUUAUUUCCUUACGUAGUUUGGCUAUUUAUAAAGUUCGGUUUUAGAUCGAAUUUUAUUGGUUGGUGAGGAAUCCAAAUAUGAUUUAUAGAUGAAUCACAAAGUAUAAGGGGUAUGGAAUCGUGUUCAAACUUGAUUUUGUCACUAGGUAACGUUUUGACGGUGAAAUUUGAUUUAUUUGCGAGCCAUUUUGACGGUGAAAUGAGUCUGAAGAUUGUAUUCACACUUGACUUGAUUAUUAUACGAGUUGGAAUUACAUGAGUUUUGUAGCAUCAAAACCGACUCAAACCUAAAUAAUUCAUUUCCUAACAUGUAACUUGGCUAUUUAUUGAACUAGGUUUACAUUUUAUUUGUCCAUAGAAAAUCAAAACAACCUUUUGAAAUAAGUCGUGACAUACAAGGGAUAUUAAAUUUUGUUUAAAUUUGAUUUGAUUAAUUGAGAAUCAAAUUCAAUUCAUUACCUCAUAUUUGUAUGAGUUAAGGCGAGUAUCAAAUUUCUUAGUUGAUCUUAAUGCCCUUCUAUGAGCAGACAAUAAGAUGUAUUAUGUGCUUUGUCUUAGUAGGUGAUUUACAUCAAGUUAAUAUAAUUUUUCUAGUUAAUAAUUUGCAGACAUGUACACUUUUCAAGAUAUCCUUAAGCCAAGUUACAUAUAGUACUUAUUAUUUUGUAUCUCUUUUAACCAAAACAAAAAAUUUAGUUGACCAAAAUAAAGCAACACUAACACUAGCCCAUCGACAAACCAACAUAUUUGACUUAAUGUCACAAUUCAAUUCAUACAUUAUCAACUAAUUUGGUUUUUCUUUUCAAUAUUUUUGUCUUUUUGGUAGACAAAUUAAAAUUAGGUAAAGCCAAAUACUUUGACAUUUAGAAAUAAGUUAGAGAGUAACAUUAUUUGGAAUUAAUCGAAUCUAAUAUGAAAAUAUUGAAACUCACCUAAAUAGUAUGCAAAAGCAUGAAAACUUCUGCUGCAAAUUUAAGCUCAUUCUACUUGUUGCAAAGAGCAAAGAGCAAAAAGAAAUCUAGAAAAUAAGUGUGGACAAAAAAGCAAGAAAGAAUAUGGUACAAUAAUGUUGUUUGGUCUUUUGGGAGAGGGAUUGGGAAACUGAGAGAAAAUACAAAAAUCUAUAACGAUUCUAUUAGUAACGGAGUUCUUUUAUUUGUAUCAUCUUUAGCAUUCUUUUCCUUUUCCUUGAUGUAAAUAUUUUGUUAUUGUUCAAUUUCAUGUAAAAUUAAUCCAAUGUAGGUGGCGCAAUAUCAUAUGUAUGAAGGUCUUAAACCUGUAUGGGGCCAAAAUGUUCAUUUUAUUAAAUGCCGGGGACUAGCACAAUUUUCCCUACUAAUGAAGCGUAGUAAAUUUUGUAUACUGAGAAAACUCUCAUCAACAAAAGGACUACGGACUUGGUCAAACUGUGAGUGCUGACCAGAGAAUGGCCAAAUUCAAUGAUUGCCACUUAGUAGUAGUAGUAGUAGUAGUAGUAGUAGUAGUAGAAGAGCACUAAAGCUUUCCUCUCUUUUUUUUUUUUUUUGGGUUGGAUGGUUAGUGGACCCAGGACUUUUUUAUGUUUUUGUUUUUGUAUUUGUUUUUUUUGAGGGUGGUAGGAUUAGGCCUGUCAAUCGGGCCUAAUGAACCAGGCUUUUAUAAGUUCAAACUCAACUCAUUUAAUUUGGAACAAUUUCAGGUUUCGAGCUAUGAGUUUCGGGUACAUAAAUGUGAAGCUUAUACUCAACUUACAUAAUAUUCGGGUUGUGAGUCUUAAUCGGGUUUAGCCCUCCCUUAUUACUCAUUAAUAUUCUUAAUAUAAUUACUAUAACUAUUAAGUUGUAAAACUAAUUUAACAUUUACAAGACUAUAAUAUUAAAACUAAAUAUGAACAAAUAAUAGUUCUUAAAAAGUAUACAAACCAAAAUUUGUUCAACAAUAUUUAUAUUUAAUUCGUUCAAAAUGCAUGAAAAAUAGUAAUAAAACAUGCGAUCAUAAGUCAAUACAUCUUUAUAAGUUGAAACUUUUUUUUAUAAUCUUGUGAGUUGAAUCCAAACAUGUUUGAUGAUUUGUGUUUGUAAAUAAAAAAGAAAUCAACCGAUAUUAUGCCAACACAAAAAUUUAUUCAACCACUAAGAAAAGUUAGAGAUUCAGUUAUGCAUAACUAAUAUUGGCUCUUAAGAAAGCUCAUGGAAGAGUCUUUAGAUGUAUUUUUAUAUUUUGUAAUAUAUAUAUAUAUAUAUAUAUAUUUAGUAUUAAUAAUAAUAUAUUUGGAUAUAUAAUUAUACAUAAUAUCAAAAUAUAAAUAUUAUAUAUAUAUACGGAUAAUUAAAGGGCCGGACCUAUAUCGGGUUUGAGCCUAAUAGGGCUCAAGCUCGGCUCAUAUUUAAUUCGGACUUAAUAUUUAGGCUCAAUCUCAGACCGGCUCACUAAAAUGUCGAGCUCAUUGGGUUUUUUGUCGGGUCGAACGAGCCGAGUUCGAGCUGGCCCAACCCCAUUGACAGUCCUAGGUGGGAUGAUGUGUAUAGGAGAAUUGUGGUCAAUUUUUCUAUCAAGUUGAGGUCCAAAGUGACCAAUUUGUUGAUGUUUAUGCCUUGUGUGGGUGGAUGAGGCUGAUGAUUCAUUAUCUCCGACAAGGACAGAUUCAUUCAUAAUUUCAUAUGUCCAGAUUGGGAGGAAGAUAAUGAAGUGAGAAGGGAUAAGUUCCCAGCACUGGUUUUGCUUUUUAGUUGGUUAUUGGUCUACUUUGUACCUAAAGAAAAAAAUUGAAUUAAUCUUGUUUACACUGUCAGUGUAUAUACUAUUAUCGUUAAAUAUAUGACACGUGUUUACACAGGUGUCAUUCAUUCAACCGUGAAAGUAUAUACAAUGACAAUGUAUAUAAGAUUUACUCAAAAAGAAAUAAAGGAGAGUGAUAGCCAAAAAUUUUAGUUGAUACAUUUUUUGCGUUUAAUACGAUUUUCAAGAAUUGAUUCUUUUAUUCCGUGUCCUAAGGACAUAAAAUAACGUGGGCUUUAUUUAAUUGCACUUACAUAGGUAUUUUCAAUUGUAACGUAGUUGAUAAUGGUAGAAUUUAACAGUGGGAUCAAUCCUCCUUUUUGGAUGCUUAUCAUGCGCCUUUUGGAGAUAGAACCAAAAAACCUGUCAAGAAUCAUUUUCUAUUGUUCAACAUUCUGAAACUAAUUUGGUCAAAACAAAAGAAAAAGAACAUUCUGAAACUAAUAAUAUGGCAUAAUCUAGAUAAUUGACCCAUAGAUGGCCAAAUUGUGAUUGCUAAUGUCACAGUUUCUAUUUUAUUUUUUUUGUGUUUUUUUAAUAUAUAUUUUGGAGGUUGGGCUUCUGAUUGUAGUUGCAUGCAACAGGUUCAUGUUCCCUAAUGUUGGUCUCCUACUUUCAUGGGACAAAUCCAACAAGAAAAUUUGCCGACAAACCCAAAAAAAAAAAAAAAAAAAAAAAAACAAAGAAACUAAUCAAAACCCAUGUUUUGAUAAGCCGCAGAUCAACUCAAUGGAAUCAAAUGUACUUAUAGUAGUUCUGAAAAACCAAUACGACUUUCAUAAUGUAUUGAUAAUUCCCCACGCGUGAUUAUUAUACUGAUUUUGAUUAGAAAGUAAUUAGCAGUAUAAUUCAAGACUGGAGAGUGAAGACCGGGUGGCAGCCGCCAUGUUGAGCUGUUAAGACCAGUAAUAACUAAUAAGUCAUAUUAUCAAAAUUAUAGUAAACUAAAAUAUUAGGUCUGGUUUGGAUUACUAUUUUCUAAAAUUUUUAUAUAAAAAAAAUAUUAUAACGAUUUGAUAUAUACGAGAUAAAAAAAUAAUUAAAAAAUUUAUUCACAAAAAACUCAAAAAAAAAAUUUUAAAUGAAAAUGGCUUUUUUUUUUUGUCAAACAACAAACUUUUUGUUAUUAAAGAAACAACGCGCAAAUUCUGCGUUCCUUCAUUUGCAACUUUGCCGGCGGUGGCCUGUUUUCGUAUUAGACUGGCUACAUAUGAGCGUGACUUCUUUACGUUGACGCAUGAGUUAGUUAAGGCAUUAUUUGAGAUUUGACCGGGUCUUCAACGUUGUACACAACCUUUGACCUGGUACAGUAGUGGACUGUCCCAAAAGUCUUUCCUUUUUAAUUUUAAGGGGUUUUAUUUUUUCACCCCUAAAAAAAUCACUCGUAUGAAGACCAAAUAAAUUGUUUUUGGCCAAUCUGCAUGUAUAUGAACGGUGGACUAACCGAUCAUUUUGUCUCGUAAAAACCAUGCCCAAAUUUCUAUGAAAAUGGUAGUAAUUAGGUUGUGAAUAUAUCACAAGAGACUAAAGUUGAAAUUUAUAUUUAAAUUUUUGAAAACCCGAAUAAUGUUAUUCUAGAGAGGAUAAUUUAAAGGAAAAAUCGUUUAAAACGUCCAUUACAUUUAAUUAAAUGAAUCUUUCUGUCAUUCAUUUUUAAAAUAUUAACUUUAUAUCUCUUAUAAAUUCAAGUUGGUAAAAACUCAUUCCAACAUAAGUUUUUGACCACUUUUAGUUUGAAAUUACUAUGUGAUAUACAUGCAAUCAUUUAUAUAUAUAUAUAAGGGUUGGAUCUCACUUUUUCAGUGACAAAAGUAAAUAUAAAUUUGAUCAAAUUUCACUUUCUUUUUAUGAAAAAACGAAUAUGGUUUGAAUCAGAUCCUACUUUUUAAAGAAAAAAAUGAAUGUGGGAGCUAACAUUUUUGUCCCUAAGAAAUGAUUUUUGUCCCUAACAAAAGUAAGCUGUUUUAAAUGAUUUUCUCUAAUUUAAAUUCGUAGGAGCCGCCACUACUAGCUUAGACCAGCGUGAGAUGCAUUUCUUUGCUUAUGUUUACAUUCAAGAUUCUUGAGAUGAAAAGGAACAAAGAAAAAAAUUCAAGUCUCAACCACACAAAGAUGAGACACAUGGCAAUUCAAUGUCAACCUUGCAAAACAUCAAUCCCUUGAGAAUUUUCCUCGCUUUUGAUUCAGACAAACCGCCCAGUCAGUCGUGGUUUAUCUUUUAUGCCCAACUGUAGAAACAUAGCCAUGCCUUAGGCCAUUGAUAAAUGAUGGGGAUAAUUUUAGAAACCUCCCUUGAGGUUCAUCAUAAUAUUACUCGACUUUCUUCAAGUUUUUAAAAUUUUACUUACCUCACUUAUCAACUUGAUAAGCUAAAUAUUCAUAUCAAAGAUUACAAAUUGAUAACAUUACUCUUGAUCUUAAUAACUAUUUAACUAAAAAACCAAAACAAAAUAAAAUUUUAAAACAAAAAAAUGUAAAUUAAAAAAAUAAAUUGCUAGUUAAUAAUGGUCCAUAUUUCUUUACGUUAGGGUCGUAGUAGGAUAGCAAAGGACGUGGAUAAAUUAAAUCUAAUCAAGGUCAACUACUUAAAGAAAUUUGGUGAGUAAUUAAUAUCUUAAAAAAUUUUGUGCACAGUUAAAUUACAAUUAAGAAAGUCAGAUAUUUUUUUGGAGAAAUAUGUUUUAAUUCAUGGUAUAGUUUAAAUUGUAUUGAAAACUAAAAUAAUCUUUUCAUACAUGUGAAUUUUUCAAGGUGUAAAUUUUGCUUUUAUUCCAAUACAAUUAAAAUAAAUAGUUAUGUAAAGAAAUUUACACCUUCAAAAAAUUUAACCUUAUUUUAUUUUUUUUAUUGUUAUAAAUUUCAUGAGUAGGAUAACAUAAGGGCAGUAUUGGAACAAAAGUUUUAUCUUUCUUGUAUUUCUUCCAAAGGGGUUAAAAUAUUACAAGAAAUGUCAAUCCAAAGGAGGUAAGUGAUAUUUUAAAACCUCAGAGGAAUUGAGUAAUAUUAUGAGAAAUCUCGAGAAAGGUUUCUGAAAUUAUCCCUAAAUGAUGUCCAUAAUCGGCCUAUAACACUUCACAUAGUCAGAUAACAAGAAGGAUAAACUACAAAACUAGAGGCUAAUUGUGGCUCAUUGUGAAGUACAUUUCUCAUAAACCUAGUUAUGUUUAUUUGCAUUAUAUCUGUGAGCCUGGAUAUAGAGGUCAACAUAGAUUGAGUGUAGUACCUUUUGCAAUUUGAUAUAUAAAAGGUUGUUUGAAAAAGUUAAAAAGUGAUUGAAUAUUAUGCUUAUGAUGGAACAAUUUUUUUUUCCUCACUUUGCUCCCACACUCAAAUUAACUUCUUUCUGCAAAAUGCUCCUAGCUAGUAAAGGGCACAAAACAGAACACAUCUUGUAUUUUUCUUCUCUCUUGUUGUUCCGUUAAUUAUUUGUCCAACAACUUUGCAACCCUUUUUUUUUAUUCUGUCAAUAGAUUUGGUUGUUGUUUGAGUGAAGCAAAGAAAUAUGAGCAAAACAGUUUUGUUUCUCUUGAAAAAGAUUUUAAUGCUAGGUCUAGUAAAUGAAGCACAUGUAUACAACGUUUUAUAUAUAUAAUUUCUAUCUUGUAUGCGCAAGAUUUAUCACACAAAGACCAAUUACACUGGCAUAUAACACAGCAGUUAAAUUCUACUUUUUAGCCACUCUCAACCGCAUCAUCCUUAGAACUGAAGGCACAUUUGACUUUCACGUAUCACUUAGCAAAGGAAGCAUGCAUGGAUGAUCAAUCAGAGGAAUAUGCAGAAAUCAAGGCAGUCAAGCAGAGACAAGAUUCACUCAGUCAAGAUAACUGUCCAUUGACAUAAACAAGUUGGAUACAUUUACUCACAUAUCAGAAAUAUAUAAGUUUACAUGUCCUUUCCUUCUAUUACAAGUCUUAUUAUGACACAUCCAAUUAGAAGAAGGUACCCUCAGGAGGUUGAACAAGCUUGCGGUUAUGUGGAGCUGCCAUUUCCUUCCUCAGCUGAGUCAGUAUGUCUUCCAUAGUGAACUCCCGCUGCCAAUUU